CUCACGAUCCUUAGCUCCCUGAACUCGCCUCAACCUUCUGAUCAUCAUUCUAGAAGGAUCGCACCUGGAGUGAUCGGAUUCACGUUCGUCGGAGCUCGCCGGAUUCUGGAAAUUUUCCACCACCACCGAAGCUUUUGAUAGAAGGAAUCGAAGCCUGAAAUUGAAGUUUUGACGUCGAAAUCAAGCCUUGCCGGAUUCUGCAAAAUUCUGGAAUUUUUCCGACCACCGAAGCUUUCGAUCGGUAUAUCUCGAGCUACAGACCAUAUUUUUCUGUGAUUCUUGAACCAGUGAGUUCUUCUUGAGUUUCUUAACAACUCUUCAGAAGGAAUCGAAGCCUUAAAUUGACGUUUUUACGUCGAAUUGGAGCUCGCCGUUUUCUGCAGUUUCUCGCCGGUUUCUGGAAAAUUCCGGCCACCUUCAUACUGUUCAAGGUGAUCGACGGUUUGAUUUGGCGGACGAUUCGUGAAAUUGUAUUUUGAGCUGUUAAGAAGACGCAGCGGGAAUUUAGAGCGGGUAAUCCUACAGGUCAGGAGAACCAGGACGGUGAUCGGGCUGCUUAGAGUAGUGUUAUGUGAAUUACAGCAUUAUAUUGUGAGGUUUGUUAUGCUCAUUUAGAGCUUUACGAUUUUACUUUGUAAGAGUGAAUUGUAAUAAUUAACUCGAGGUUUUCGAGUUUUGUGUUGA